rnacentral:rRNA from 1 species
UGCUCCCUACGGGGCGCAGCAGUGGGGAAUAUUGCACAAUGGGGGAAACCCUGAUGCAGCGACGCCGCGUGAGUGAGGAAGUAUUUCGGUAUGUAAAGCUCUAUCAGCAGGGAAGAAAAUGACGGUACCUGACUAAGAAGCCCCGGCUAACUACGUGCCAGCAGCCGCGGUAAUACGUAGGGGGCAAGCGUUAUCCGGAUUUACUGGGUGUAAAGGGAGCGUAGACGGAGGGCAA